rnacentral:rRNA from 1 species
AACGAACGCUGGCGGCAUGCCUUACACAUGCAAGUCGAACGGCAGCACGGGAGCAAUCCUGGUGGCGAGUGGCGAACGGGUGAGUAAUAUAUCGGAACGUGCCCGGUCGUGGGGGAUAACGUAGCGAAAGCUACGCUAAUACCGCAUACGAUCUACGGAUGAAAGCGGGGAUCGCAAGACCUCGCGCGAUUGGAGCGGCCGAUAUCAGAUUAGGUAGUUGGUGAGGUAAAGGCUCACCAAGCCGACGAUCUGUAGCUGGUCUGAGAGGAUGACCAGCCACACUGGGACUGAGACACGGCCCAGACUCCUAC